rnacentral:rRNA from 1 species
AUGGUACCCUGCUACUUCAAGCACCAAUUCUUCCCUUUCUUGCAGUCAACUCAACGCAGCGAGGGGUUCAAUGUUGUCCUUAAGCGAUAUGUGAACCCACACAAGUCCAUUUUGAACUUUGUGAAGCAAUAUCAGAAAAUCCAAACACACAUACUAGUCCGGGAGGGUUCAAAAGACUACAGGACAGCACAUUUACAGACUGAAAUGUGGUCGUCUUACCCAAUAGAGAAGCAGGCGUACAGAUCGUAUACUAGGGACUUGUACGAGAAGUUUCGUGAUGAGUUUCAGUUGACUACAAGGUACAAUGUGCGACCACAUGGUGAAAACUUGUAUGAGGUUUACCCCAAUCAAGAGUGGGUUGCCAAAUAUGGUUCUAGGGGCUAUUUUGUCACGGUCGAAGCUAGUGCUGGAGACUAUAGGUGUGACUGCUGCAAGAUUGAGAGGGACGGCAUGCUUUGCUGCCAUAUCUUGAAAGUUUUCAACCAACUUGGUGUUGAUGAAAUCCCAACGCAGUACAUACUUAGAAGAUGGACCCCUAUGGCAAUCCCCAACGCACCCCCUGCUGUCGAAGACCAACCUGAUGAGAUGCCACCACAGUCGAAGAAGGAACUCAGGCAUGCAAAUUUGAUGAUGGAUUUUGGUAGUCUUGCAAGGGUUGCCAGUGCAUCAGAUGCUGCAACGGAUAUUGUAAAAAAAACAUAUGCAUGGUGCGCGUCAUGA